UCUGCCCUGGAUAUUACAGGGGUGCAGAACAUUGAUGCAGCCUGGUACCAGAGUCUGACUGGUCCGCUCAGUGAUGACCAGAAGAAACAGCUGCAGGAGAUAUACAGCAUCUCACAGCAGUGUAGGAGCACUGCCGCAAAGGGCCAGUGAGUGCUGAUGAGAUGAACUGCAGAAUCAGUGAAGGGGGCCGAAGAAAGAGAGCAGCUGGUCUGGCCUGACUUGAAUUUAAUUUCAGUUUUUUCUGAAUGAUAUCAGUCCGGAUAAAAUCAUACCUUAGUGAUCCCACCAAAAGCACGUUCCAAAUUGCCAUUCGAAUUGGAUGGAGUACCAUGGGCUGGAUUGGCAUUAUAGCCGGGUCUUAGUGCACUGUAUAGAACCACAUCCACUGCUGGAAUAUUUCAAUGACCAGAACAGACUAUCAUCCUGUGUUUGCGUGCACACAGAUUUCAGUGAAAGAUCUGCAUUAUAAUUAUAAAUGUCUUUGACCAGCACAAUUCAUUUAUGUUCUUGUACAGUGCAGUCCAGUGCAGCUAAUUUAAGAAACAAAAGAAUAAUGUAUCAUUUCCUGUGUUAUUCUUGUUAUUCCAUCAUUCUUUACUGUUUCCUACCUUAAUUAAAUAUCUUUGUUGUUUCCCCAAGAAGCAUUGUGUCUUAAUACAGUCUCACAAAGCCACUAAUAUGGCUGUUAAAAUAAGUUUGAUAAAAAAAACACAGCUGCAAAGAACAGCUGAGCCUGAUGUCAUUGUAAUUAGUGGGUUAGCAUAAGAACAACAACUAUUGACUAUUGAUUAUUUGUAAAGGCAAAGAAUAUUUUUCAUUCAGCAACAAUGUUAAUAUUGCUAGCAGUAGAUUGCUACAUUUCACAGACUCAAGCUUUUCGUUAACUGGGUUGCAACUGCAGCUGAUAUAUUGCAGAGCAAAUGUCUGUUUUUGCUGGUCUGAUAUCGGACCACUUUUGUUAAUGUACAACUCUGUAAAAUUUCGAAAGAUAAUAAACUCGUUUUUUGUCUA